rnacentral:rRNA from 1 species
GACGAACGCUGGCGGCGUGCCUAAUACAUGCAAGUUGAGCGCUGAAGGUUGGUCCUUGUACCAACUGGAUGAGCAGCGAACGGAUGAGUAACGCGUGGGGAAUCUGCCUUUGAGCGGGGGACAACAUUUGGAAACGAAUGCUAAUACCGCAUAAAAACUUUAAACACAAGUUUUAAGUUUGAAAGAUGCAAUUGCAUCACUCAAAGAUGAUCCCGCGUUGUAUUAGCUAGUUGGUGAGGUAAAGGCUCACCAAGGCGAUGAUACAUAGCCGACCUGAGAGGGUGAUCGGCCACAUUGGGACUGAGACACAGCCCAAACUCCUACGGGAGGCAGCAGUAGGGAAUCUUCGGCAAUGGACGAAAGUCUGACCGAGCAACGCCGCGUGAGUGAAGAAGGUUUUCGGAUCGUAAAACUCUGUUGGUAGAGAAGAACGUUGGUGAGAGUGGAAAGCUCAUCAAGUGACGGUAACUACCCAGAAAGGGACGGCUAACUACGUG